UGGGCUCACUCCUCUGGGUAAGUGGGAGCCCCCAACUAUCAUCCUCAUUGUAUAGAAAACCAACUCUAUGAUGCUAUCUGCCCCUCUUCCCCUUCUCUCCUGAAAGAGGGCUGGGGUAGAGGUGGGAGGACUGGUUAUGGCCCUGGCUGGGUCUGUAUUAGUAAUGGGAGGAGUAUUGGUACUCUGUGUAGAAAGAAAUGGGGAGGGGGAAAUGGGGUGCCCUCAGCAUCUCCCUAAGUCCCAGCCUUUAAGUCCUCCUGUUGCAGUUCGUCGCCUGCAGCUUCGAGAGGAAUUGGAUCGAUCUUCUUGCGGAAACGUCCUCUUCAAUGGUUACCUGCCCCCACCAGUGUUCCCAGUGAAGCGGCGGAACCGGCACAGCCUCGUGGGGCCUCAGCAGCUAGGAGGACGGCCAGCCCCUGUCCGACGGAGCAACACGAUGCCCCCCAACCUUGGCAAUGCAGGGCUGCUGGGCCGAAUGCUGGAUGAGAAAACCCCUCCCUCACCCUCAGGUACGUUUCUAUCUCGUGGAAGGUUGGGGCAGCUGUGGGGUCCCUGUGACCCUCUUCUGAUCCCUCCUCUUCCCGUCAAGGACAACCUGAGGAGCCGGGGAUGGUGCGCCUGGUGUGUGGACACCAUAACUGGAUCGCUGUGGCCUAUACCCAGUUUCUAGUCUGUUACAGGUUGAAGGAAGCCUCUGGCUGGCAGCUGGUGUUUUCCAGCCCCCGCCUGGACUGGCCCAUCGAACGACUGGCGCUCACAGCCCGGGUGCAUGGUGGGGCUUUGGGUGAACAUGACAAGAUGGUGGCUGCGGCCACCGG
rnacentral:sRNA from 1 species